rnacentral:rRNA from 1 species
CCUACGGGGGGCAGCAGUGGGGAAUAUUGGGCAAUGGGCGCAAGCCUGACCCAGCAACGCCGCGUGAAGGAAGAAGGCUUUCGGGUUGUAAACUUCUUUUAAGAGGGAAGAGCAGAAGACUGUACCUCUUGAUUAAGCCACGGCUAACUACGUGCCAGCAGCCGCGGUAAUACGUGGGUGGCAAGCGUUGUCCGGAUUUACUGGGUGUAAAGGGCGUGUAGCCGGGCUGACAAGUCAGAUGUGAAAUUCCGGGGCUCAACCCCGGACCUGCAGUGGAAACUGUUGGUCUUGAGUAUCGGAGAGGCAGGCGGAAUUCCUAGUGUAGCGGUGAAAUGCGUAGAUAUUAGGAGGAACCCCAGUGGCGAAGGCAGCCUGCUGGAGGACAACUGACGGUGAGGCGCGAAAGCGUGGGGAGCAAACAGGAUUAGAUACCCUUGUAGUC